rnacentral:rRNA from 1 species
UAGUGGCGAACGGGUGAGUAACACGUGAGUAACCUGCCCUUGACUCUGGGAUAAGCCUGGGAAACUGGGUCUAAUACUGGAUAUGCACCGUGAACCGCAUGGUUUUUGGUGGAAAGAUUUAUUGGUCAAGGAUGGACUCGCGGCCUAUCAGCUUGUUGGUGAGGUAAUGGCUCACCAAGGCGACGACGGGUAGCCGGCCUGAGAGGGUGACCGGCCACACUGGGACUGAGACACGGCCCAGACUCCUACGGGAGGCAGCAGUGGGGAAUAUUGCACAAUGGGCGAAAGCCUGAUGCAGCGACGCCGCGUGAGGGAUGACGGCCUUCGGGUUGUAAACCUCUUUCAGUAGGGAAGAAGCGAAAGUGACGGUACCUGCAGAAGAAGCGCCGGCUAACUACGUGCCAGCAGCCGCGGUAAUACGUAGGGCGCAAGCGUUAUCCCGGAAUUAUUGGGCGUAAAGAGCUCGUAAGCGGUUUGUCGCGUCUAUCGUGAAAGUCCGAGGCUCAACCUCGGAUCUGCGGUGGGUACCGGCAGACUAGAGUGAUGUAAGGGGAGACUGGAAUUCCUGGUGUAGCGGUGAAA